GUUGGAUUACACCUGAGAAACAAUUAUUUGGAAAAAGUGGGACAAAUUAUGACUUAUCUCGUGAUCCUCGUAAAUCAAGGGAGGAGCUUGAGAAACUUCAAGCUGAACAAUCUGGCCUUGAGAAGAGGGUCAACAAAAAAGUUAUGGCAAUGUUCAAGAAAGCUGAAGAUGAAUAUAAUGACUUAUUAUCCAAGAAAAACAUCAUUGAGAAUGAUAAGUCAAAAAUCAAGAAGGUGAUUGAAGAGCUUGAUGAAAAGAAGAAGGAAACACUAAAAGUUACUUGGGUUAAAGUGAACAAGCUGACAAGCUAAAGAAGUCAGUGCAGAAUGAAAUUCAUUUUCUCAAGGAAAGGGUUUCAGAACUUGAAAGUGAUCUUGUGUCGAAGUCCACAGAAGUUACAUCUGCAGUUUCAAGGAAAGAAGAAGCUUUAUCUUCUGCAUUUGCUGAAAUUGACCGUCUGAAGGAAGAAAAUUCUGUAAAAACGUGAGCAUUAUUGAAUGCAUAUGAAAAGUGUUUACUGUGUUAGAGUAUAUUUGUUUCUUGUACAUGAGGGCACGCUUUAGUUGUAAUUCUUAUGAUAGGUUGAGUAAAGUGAAGUAUUGUUUAUUUAGAAAUGUGAAUGUAGGAUGCAUUGUA